GCUCCUUACACUAAGAUGAUCGAGCAGAGAUCUAGAGUUCUCAACACAGAUCGAUGACGCCUCCUCGAGAUCCACUUCUUUGCAACCCCCAACCCUGGUAUAGUAUGAAAAAUCUACAAAUAAAUUAGAAGAAUAAGUAAUUAUUGAAUGCUUAUGUUUGUUGGUGUAGUAGUCCUUUUAGGUCCAGUCCUAGAGGAUGUUGCUUUACGCUUCCCUUUAUUUGAGUGACUUUCAUGCUAAAUAAUAUAGUAGAUAGAUCUAAUUAAUACUUCUAAGUGCAUAAUAUUUUGUGAAAACCUUACAUUUUAUAGUGUAGUUGCGUCUUACCUUAUGUGUGGGCCUGUAGGUGUGUGCCUCAUAACUUUUCUGUUUCCUAUAAAUUGUCCUUGUUUUGUUUCUUGUGUUUAGGUUUAGAUUUUUUUUCUUCAACCUACAGGCUCACUCAGGUUUUCCUUCAAUCUUCUACUUCGACCUCUAUAUUUUCAUGUGGAAUGUUCAAGAAAUAUCCAAGAGAAAUACAACUGCACUCAGCUUCAGAACAUGCACUGGAAAAAAUGUGUUGUUUUGGUUUGAAUGAUGACUCUACCUGUCGUAGAAGUGUGUUGUAGACGCGUAUCAGGAAUACAUGGACGUGGAUAUGCAUUAUGGUUGUAUUAUGGACGUGGAUAUGCUCGCCAUAUUAGCUAUAUCUUUUUCAUAUUUUUUUGAGUUUGUUCUCGGGGGUGGGUUGUGGCUGUUUGAUAACGGUCCAAUUUGGUUGUUUUAUGAUCUUGUCAAGAUAUUUCACACCAUACAGAUUAACUAUCACCAGUUUUAGUUAAUGACUCCUGAUAUUUAUCUCCCAAUGGUUAUCCGUCCACAUAGUUGCAUGCAACUACAAGUAUAAACUAAUUUUUUAACUUCCAUUUCUUGAUCAAUUGACAUCGGAAAGUUAGCACUAUUAACGCACUCUUUGUAGAGCACUGCUAAUACACUAAAAUCUAUUUGAAACAUAUUUUAUGGAACACAAAGAUUACUUUUUGAUAUAUGUGAAAUCUAAACUGCUCUACACUAGAAGCACAAAGAAACAUGAAAUGAAAUCCCCACCUUGGAACACGUAAAAACAGAUUUGAUGUUGAUCUAUGAUAUACCCCAUAAACUGCAAAAUUUAGCAUGCUGAUGAUGGAAUAAAGUUUUAAUCAAGGUGUUCUUUUCGAGCAAAAAAACAACAUUUUAUUCUUUUCCCUUGAUUGCAUGCCUCAUUAUUUAAUCACCGAUGAACAUAUGCUGCCUCAUGUUUCAAUCAUAUUUACUUCCUCUUCCAAGGAAUUUAUGGGCAGAUGUGUUCAAAUGCUUUUAUCUUUUGAACAUGUUUUCAUAUGAAUGAGCUGAAGUCAUUUCCCAUAAACUGUGGUGCUUUUACUUUUCAUUAAGGUUGCUCGACCAAUGAUGUUCAGUGAUUGUGUGCACUCCACAUGCAUCGCCUUUGUCGAGUAAGAAAAACAUGUUUUAUUUCUGAUUAUUUUCACAUAAUCUUCUUUCGGUUAUUUGAUUUUCUUUAGGUUUGUCCCCUUACGCUCCUCUUAUUCCCUCAAUAAAGUUUGGCCUUGUGGCAACUCACGGGGACAUACCUCGACAAUAGCUAUUUCAAAAAAGAGGCAAAAGGAGCGCAUGAUAUAUAUCAUUUCAUAUAUCAUGGCAGCAAAAACACAUUGUGGUGGUCGCCCUUAGCUAUGACGAUGUGCAUUCCUUAGCACCGGGCAUUGGCCUGGGAUGUCGUGGAGAGGAGAGGAGGGGGCGGGUGACACCGUGGAGGGAAGGAGAGAUGGCGGUGAGAGGAAGGUACGGGUUGAAUGACGUGGCAUCGAGGGGAGGCAGCAGCAAGAAGCCAUGGCGAGGAGAGAUUGUGGGGAUGAAGCCAUGACGAGGAGAGCAGGCCGGGAAAAUGAGAUGUGAGUGUGAAUGUUUUGCCGUGCAAUAGGAGUCAGAGAUUGAACUGUUUUGUUUAUUUUAAGAUGAGAAGAAAAAGAGCUGUUGUUUGCCUUUUUAGGGAAAAGCGAUUGUUUGUUGUGAGAAAAAGAUCACAUACUUUUUUAUACAGUGAAAAUAACACAUACCCUAGCAAGUUAUUUCCGGAGAAUAAUUACCAAAAACUAAUUACCAAGUGAGCUGCUUACUAAAAUUCAGAUGCGACUUACUCUACUAAAAAGCAGAUGCCACUCCCUCGGACUAAAUAUGUUGUAUAUGGGCUUAUUUUUUUUUAAUUUUAAUAUGUGUUUAUAUAUUCACUUUUGUAGAUUAGAGAUAAGAACUUUGGCUUCAGAUGAUGCUUUGAAACUGCAGUUGACAAAUCUUUAUGAUGGGCGGACUGAAAAUUCAUCGAGUUUUACACAAUUAGAAGAGAUAUAUACAAAUAGUGGUUCUUCUUUAUAUAUUUGUUGCACAUGACAAUAUAGAAGACAUAUUUUCAUAUAUGCUUAUUUUUGCAGAGUAUGAGAGAGAUGAAAAUGUAUGAUGUCGACAUUCAAAAGGAAUACUUAGACAAGGUUUCCAGCAUGGUGUUGUUGGAAGUGGCCUAAAAUUCACCGAGUUAUAUACGUGCAAUCAGAAUAAAAAGUAAAAGGCCCAUUGCAACACACGUGCAAUCAGAAAGAAACAAGAAACCACAUUCACUAAGUUUCUUUCUUCUUUGUGCCUAUUGUGCUAAAACAACAUUAAUGUCAACAAGAGAGUUGCAAAGGAAAAUGGAGCUUUAGAAGAUGUGCAUUAUGCAAGGCAAAAUCUUUGUUUCUGAAACUGUUAUCUCCUCGAGCCUCUUUGACUCAAAGGAGUUUCAAAUGAAUUUCAGAGGAUUGCAGUCCUUACAGUAAAUUUCCUAUAUUGCUUAUUUGAUUUGUGGGAAUCGUUUCAUUGUAACGAUGUAGCAGGAAAGUUUUGUAAGAAUCCAAACAUCCACCAAAAACUUUCUUUUACAAUCCGUUGAAACAAAUAAGUUCAUUUCUUUCUCAGUUCUUUGUUUUGCACAUGCACUUCUCUCUUUUCCCCAUGUUCUUAUUUAUGUGCACUACUCGCAAAAAGCUUGUUUGGCCACAUAUGCAAUCCUAAUACCCUGAUCUUUGUGCUCAACGGACUCUAUUUUCUCAAGAAAAUUCCACUUGACAAAUCACACCAAAACUGUGCUACUCUAGGUAAAGAAUUACUCAAUUGGUGCUCAAUACUUUAUGAGUUCAGUGAACUGUAAGAUAGAGUGACCGUCAUCAUCCGUGAGGCUACAGAGUGGACGGAUUGCACUCCUGCCCUCACUAUUGACUGGAUUAUGAGCCAAAGGAAGGCAAUGAGAUAUGGCCGGCUUCUCCUCAAGCGACACCACAAAAUCGUUACACUAGGGCUAUGUUCGUUGUGUCACAAAGUUAAAAUACCAGAGAAGUUCACUCUGAUAUUAAAUGACUCUUUGUAGAGAUGUUGCGACCACCUGCACGUUGAUGUUGAUGUUUACAUGCGGCUUUUGAGAUUAUUUUCAUUUUUUGCUAGCGUAAUAUUUCCUAACUGGAGUGUUACACAAUGAAAUUCGUUGAUGUUUCUGAUGGAGAGGAUUUGAAGAUGUUGGUUGUUGUUUCUUCAUGAUACACAUUAAAUUUUAGAAAGCAUUAAGCGAAGGCAUGAACCCUAGGUUCUUAAUAUUUUUCACGUUUGACAUUUUAUUGGAUACCAUGUUCCUAGAUUUCUUUGAUCAAUGCCAAUCAUAGUUCAAAAAAGCGCUAGGCGUUAAUUGUGCGUUUUGCCACCGCCUUGCACUUUACUGACCAAAGCGCAUGCUUAUGCGCAGUUAUGCACAGAUUAAGCGUAGUUAUGCGCAAUGCAUUUUGCCAACGCCUAGAGCCUAGGCGCGCUUAAGCGCUCGCUUAGGCGCGCCUUUUUUAACUAUGAUGCCAAUAGAAUGUUUAAUCACUUCUCGUAAUCAGAAUGUAUAGGCUACCUAGAUUCAAAUAGUCUAUUUUGUAUGUUUGUUCAGGGAAGUUGUUCAAGGUGCCCUAUUAUAGCCUUACAGGGCAUCUUUUUAAGACCACGCCUGCUCAUGCUCAAAUAAAGUUGUUUUCAUCCCUAAUUUUUUUACAACGCCUGAUUUUUGUGCCAAAAAUUUGGCAGCUAUUGUUGAUGCUCUAGGAGGGCAGACAGCCCCCUACUGUUGCUCUUGGCUCAGCCGCAAGGAUUCAAGUGAAUGAGGGACCUAAUCGAUGAUGGUGCUUUUCUGAAUCUUGUUUGUUGCAUAUGGGUGGAGAGAUAAUGUUCAUAUAUCUUGCUUCAGUUGAUGCACUGAUUCAUGUACAGUAUGGAGCACCCUGACAUCAUAGGUACCUACUUAUCUCCCACCUCUCUGUUUUUCUUCAGUUGUGAAGGUGUGCCAGUCUACAGUUUCGAGUUCUUCUCUUAUGUUUUGUGGAUCUUCCUAUUUUGAACCUUAACACGUCGUAUGCAUGUGUGCCAAUCUGAAAAUGCUACAUAUUGCAUGCUGCUAAAAUUACCAAAUACUAGGAUGUGUUGAGUACAGUGAAUGGAAGUUAGCAAAAUUAAUUAGUACUAUAAAGUGCAAGUUAUAUAUGUUAUUACAGUUAUAUCUAGCUACUCAACAAACAAUUUCCAAGACUGAUCUGUUCAUGCAUGUGCAGGUGUGCGCUUCACUGAAUGAAUCAUCAUGCAAUAUUCCUACUUCAAUAUAUACUCAAGGCAGCUACUCAUUUAUAUAUAAAAAUUCCCGCGUUGCUUAUUCUCCAUGGUGAUAGCCCAACCUCAUUUAUGAAAUAUUAGGGCCAACAGAGGGCUCUGACAAACUUAUGGAGAUGGUGGUGAUGUCCUCCUCUGGGGAUGGAGGGACGGAUCUAUGGGCAUCAUGAAGAAGCGCUUGGUUCCACAAGAGAACUGAGGUGCUUGUGGCGGGGUGCUCGAGGUGAGGUGAUGGCAGGGCUGGCCGAGCAGAACAAGCUCAUUGGCACCAACUCCUCGCCUUCGUCAUCACCAAUUGAGAUAAGGUGCAAAAGGAUAUCUCACUUAUCUCUUAUUCAGUCUGUUGGCUGCAGAUUUAGCAAUGUUUUGUUUGGCAGAUUUAACAAUUGUUGGAUUGUACUCCCUCCGUAAACAAAUAUAAUAACGUAGGGAGCAAAUCUGUCACAUAUAGCAGAAUUGGAAUAACAUGGAUUGAAAUUUCUUGAAUUUAUAGGAUUAUUAUUUUUCAACAAAGUCAGACGUUACCUUAGGAAGAAGGCUGUCCAAAAUCUUGGCCACAUAAAGGAGUACGUAGUUAUUGAUUUUGAAAUAAUGUAGUGCAUUAGCUAAAUUUUUUCAUUAAUUUCUGAACGCAUUUAUGUGUAAGCCCCGUCGCGAUAUUUGUUCCUCCUUUUGGUGAUAUAGGGCGGUGAGCUUUCUCCAUCUCCACUCUUUAACACGGAUUGGUUCUGCAUUUUGCAUCAAUGGCUUUGGAUAAGAAGUGAAUGUUUCUAUCUGAAUAUUAUUGAGUUAUUGUUGCUUUGUCUAGAUCGAUUUAUUCAUUUGGAAAAUUCAGUACUUUCUUAACAAAAGUAAUAAAAGGACUUGGUCUGGGAGGGAGUAGAGCCGCUUAAUUCAAUAUUUUCUGAACAACAACAAUAAAAGGACUUAUCCAGUUAUAAUUUUUCCCAGUAAAUGAUGGAAAUAUAUAUGUAUUUUUUCUCCCAAUAUGCUAUGGUCAUCUUGUUGCUAUGCAUAUAAAAUUUCAUGGCCAGAUGAGAAGCUGAGAGUUGGCUCUCCUAUCUACAUGUCUAUCUUGCUUUGACAAGGUGAUGUAAAUAUCCAAGAAAUCAUGUGAGCAGCUCCUGUAGUUCAAUAUUAUCUUUGGCCAUUCUGCUAUUUGUGUGUGAUUUUUUCCCCUAUUCAUUAUGACAAUGAAAUUCUAGAGACGACCAGGUACUGUUCUGAAGCCAGGUUAUUUCCUAUUAUCUAUGGAUUUGAUGUCUGGUGAACGGUUGUCAUACAUGCUUUCAACAAAAUUUAGAAAUGCCAAUGUUGCUGGCCUGCAUGUUGCCGGACCUGGUGCACACACAAUCACCAGAACAAGUCGUUCCAGACUUGAGGUUCAUCUUUAUGAUUUUAUUUUUGCAAUGCAAACUUGGAGCCUACUGUACAAACUAAAAGCAUGCUUAUGUCCACAUGUAGUGCAUACCCAGCCUAAAGUGAUUUUUUCCAGUUUGAUUGAUUUUAUUACUAGGGAAAAUACCAAUGGAUGAGUGCUCUCUCAGAGCUGCAAUCAAAAGUUAUUGCAAAUGGUUUGUUUGCUUUUUAUUUAUCUUUAUAGGUUAUGAGGUCUGAUUGUGCUUCCAUUUUGGAAUUGUUGGAAAGCUUAGGUUUCCUGAUCUAGCUAACAAACCAAACAGUCUAUUUAACAACAAGACAAUAGCAUAUCUGUAUGUACCUUGGGUGCUAGAUUUUCUAGCAGCAAGAUAGUAGCAUAUCUAUAUGCACCUUGAGAGUUACAUUUUCUACCGGUGCUUGUACUAUUACUAUGGGGCUUGUGUGGAUAAGGUAAUUUCUUUUAUAGUUAUUUUUUAGUGGGCUAAGUUUGGGUGUUGGUUGGGCCGUGGUGGAUAGCUAAUUUGGGCCUUGUGCAAAUUUUGCUCAACGAUAGAAAUGCUAGACUCGCAUGUGUAGGAAUUUAUGAUAAAAACAUAGAUAUUAAAAGUAUACAUACCUCACAGAAACAAUAAAAGUGUAUAUAUAUACUAAGGGUAUCACAAUAAAAUUGAGAGAAAAAACAAAUAUACUUGGUUGAAGAAGGUUUGUUUGCAUGUCUUACCACGAGGUCAGAAGUUUUGCGAGAAGGAAACUAUCCAGACGUUGGCACUCUGGUGGAACGGUGCAGAAUUGAUUAAGCUGGUUUGCGCGGUGAGUAUUGUCUGUUACAUGUUUUAAGACCUUCGGCGUGAAAUUUGCAUACUAACUACAUAUAUUGUUUGUGCAGGAUGAGUAUGAGUUGAGGAAGCAGUUUUUAUUAUACCUGCUAAAACAACAACUUUCCUGAUAUUGCUAAAGAAUUUCUUAAGCGCAUCAUCUAGAUAUUGAUAAUUUUGUAAUAGAUGUUCAGCUGGAACAUGGACAUGUCAUUAAUCUUUUCUUUUUCUUAUCAAUUUUCAUUGCAAAAUGGACUUCAAUUAUUUAGUAAUUGUGUUUGUGUUAUAUUGUUUGUGCAUGUGAAAUUUAACAUGUAACUCUUGUAAACUUUUUUAAGAGCCCAUGGCAACGCACGGGCACUCUACUAGUAAUAAGUAGAUGAUGGGUUGUUAGAGUGAUAGAAUCUAAACCCUAGUUUAUGCGUUGCUUCGUAAGGGGCUGAUUUGGAUUCAUAUGUUUCAUGCUAUGGUUAG
rnacentral:lncRNA from 1 species